rnacentral:tRNA from 2 species
GGUGAUAUCGUCUAGUGGUCUAGGACGCCGCCCUCUCACGGCGGAAACCAGGGUUCGAGUCCCUGUUUCACUACCA